rnacentral:rRNA from 1 species
CCUACGGGAGGCAGCAGUGGGGAAUAUUGGACAAUGGGCGCAAGCCUGAUCCAGCCAUACCGCGUGUGUGAAGAAGGCCUUUUGGUUGUAAAGCACUUUAAGCGAGGAGGAGGGCACUUUGGCUAAUACCCGAAUGUGUCGGACGUUACUCGCAGAAUAAGCACCGGCUAACUCUGUGCCAGCAGCCGCGGUAAUACAGAGGGUGCGAGCGUUAAUCGGAAUUACUGGGCGUAAAGCGCGCGUAGGCGGCUUGUUAAGUCGGAUGUGAAAUCCCCGGGCUCAACCUGGGCACUGCAUUCGAUACUGGCAAGCUAGAGUAUGGGAGAGGAAGGUAGAAUUCCAGGUGUAGCGGUGAAAUGCGUAGAGAUCUGGAGGAAUACCGAUGGCGAAGGCAGCCUUCUGGCCUAAUACUGACGCUGAGGUGCGAAAGCAUGGGGAGCAAACAGGAUUAGAUACCCUGGUAGUCCAUGCCGUAAACGAUGUCAACUAGCCGUUGGGGACCUUGAGUCCUUAGUGGCGCAGCUAACGCGAUAAGUUGACCGCCUGGGGAGUACGGUCGCAAGACUAAAACGUCAAAGGAAUUGACGG